GACCGGGACCAUGCCUGGAAGCAGAGAAAGGCAAGUACGGGAGGCGGCGGCCACGGUCGCGCAAGCCCUAUCCCCAGUGACGCGUGACUUGGCGACGGCGGCGCAUGGACUACUGCCGUGCCUUCUGCGUGGGGCUGGCCCGUCAGACUGCAGCUGGACUCCCUCACCCAGGCUGUUUGCAAGCCCCCUCCCACGUGCUCAAGCGGCCUGCAAGUGGAAGGACAGCGCUUCAGUUCUCUUCUUGUCAGGUGCUCCAGGUAGUCUGGAGGACCACAGACACCGCAAAGACACGGCUGCUCUGCAGAUGCCAUGUUGGGGGCUGGGUGACCCUGGCAGUGGGUGGCGGCACGCCCCUUCUUGCCCUCAGGGGAGUCCUCCCUCCUCCCACGGACUUCUGCCCACAUGGAGUGGCUCAUGUAGAGGUCAGCCGGUGGUAUUUCCCAGAUGGCCCCGUCCCCUUUGGCUGGUGGCGGCAGCUCCCCCUGAGUGGAGAGAGGUUCCCCCAUUCGCCCAGACCCAGAGGAAUGGCCCCUGAAGAGGAACGGGAACCUCCUGCAUGCCGGGCCAGCCUGGGCCCUCCCAGUGACACGACCUACCUGAGCUCAUCAUGUAUUCGCGGUACACGGGCAGGUGGAAGAGCCCACUGAGGAGACAGAGGUGUGACUUGAGGCCCGGGAAGGUUUGAGAGAAGCCGGUCGCCUCUGUGCAGAAGCCAAGGAGUGGGUGCUCAUCUGUCAGCAUCUCCCUAGCCUUGAUCUAGACCACAACAAAACAUCUGGGCAGAUGCAUGCCGUUCCAGAUGAAACAGCUGGACUGAAGGCAGCUGUGAGUUGACAGUUUUGGGCCACACUCCAAAGCACAGCAGGGGGGUGGCUGAGAAUGUGCCCCCACCCGGGCGAUGGCAGAGCCCUGAGUGCGAAUGGCUCUUUGGGGCAGAAGGAGCCUGACCAAGGGCUGCAUGGGGGACAGAGAUGGGAGCUUUUGUGGACCAGAAACCAGUUGCUGGAUGCAUGAAGCAUUACACAGAGCAUGCGGGGGCAGGGAGAAGAGAAAGGUGACGCCAGAGAGAUGCCCAAAGGAUCAGCCGCCCAAGAGUCUGCAGAGCCCAGAGGAAGACCAAGGAGAGGACGGGGAUCCUUCAGACUGAAGAGCUCCAGGGAUCAGCACACCCCCUGGAAAAGGCUGGAGGGGGAGGCUGGUCUCGGGUCACAGCCCCCACCAGCAUGAAGCACAGAUGCACUAACAGUAAUGGGGGCCCCCAGGGGAGACGAGCCCCUGCAGUGGUGAGCCCCCCCAUGGGCAGUCAAGUGGCACUGGCCCACCAUCAGCCACCUUUUCAGCUGCACCUUCGAGGGGGCAGGGCAGGACUGGGCCCCAAAGGUUUCCAAGAGAGUCCUGUGCUCAUGGGGGGGCCUGGGUGUGCCCGACAGAGAUCAGGGCUGCCCCGCCAGCUUGCCUAGCCUUGCGUGAACUCUUCCCCUGACUGUGCAGCUGUGCGUGUCCUCCUGUCUAGCUGCCCCCCCCCCGGCUCUCUUGCCAGAAGUGGUGCUCACCAGGACUCCAUCCCAUCAUCCCAUGCCUGAUCUCCUUUGUAACCACCUGCCUGCCCCCUGAGAACUGCACCUUCGUGGGUGUCACACCUGGCACCUGACAAAAUGUACCCUGGGCACAGGAAGCCCCAACCCCAGAGCUAGUGGCACCCUCAGACUGGCCCCCCAGUGAGUGGCUUGGAGUAGCCCUCUGGAGGCCAGGUGUGUGGCUCAGUGCAGACUUGGGCUUGGCUUGAGGAGCGUUCCAGGUUCCGGGCAGCAAGGGGGGGGGGCUCACCUCGCUCCGGGGUCUCCCAGUCUAUGAUCCACCAAGUGCAGUAAAGGACUGUGAUAGACCAGUAGGAGGUGAAGAGCAGGCCAAUCAGGACACUCGUGAAGAAGAUCCCUGUGGAGAGGCCGGAGGAGGCAGCGUCAGUGGGGGGGACUCCUGGUGGGGGGGAGGGGGGUGCAGCUUCACUUCGGGUGUUUCUCUGAUAAUUCACCUUUGCCCUUUGAGCCUCCAGGAGGAGUGCAAAGUUGGAAAGCAGAGACCACCACUCGGCCUUGGGCUCUUUCAGGUGUGUCUUUUUAAACCAUCCUUGUUUUAUUUACGUCGUGAGCCAUCUUGAGUGCCACAAGGUAGAAAGGGGGCUAAUAAAUGUUUUGCAUAAAACUUAAAUAAAAAUCAUCACAUAACAGAUAAGUAAUUUCAAGCAAACAACUCAGAGGACACAGAGUAAAUAUGCAAUAAAACUGGACUGCCAGAAACUCGGGGACGAAUGCAAGA